GGAAUACAUAUGCAGAUUUGUUACAUGGGAAUACUGCAUGAUGCUGAGGUUUGGAGUACAGAUCCUGUCAACCUGGUAUUGAGCAAACUCGUCGUAUAAAUUCAAUCAAUGACCUGGAUUGAAAACAGCUGUUCUGGGAUAUACUGGUCGUUAGGUAAUAACUCCUUCAACCAAUUGCCACUCAGAAAAUAUUUGAAUCCACCUAUAACCCACCCACAUCA
rnacentral:lncRNA from 10 species